rnacentral:lncRNA from 1 species
CUGUUAAUCUAAGUGGCUAUUUAUAUACUUGCCUCCAUGUAUAUUUAUAUGCUCAUGAAAAAUUGGAGACUUGCUUUUUGAUUUUUAUGAGUCUUUUCAACAAAGAAGUAGAGGCUUUCUUUCUCGAAAUUUAAUUUUAGAAUUUGUGAAGGUUUUGGGAAUGGCUCGGAAAAGACGAUUUUAUACAUGCAUGCAAGAGUUUGAUAUGUGUAUUGUCUCAUCAUGACUGAGUCAAAGUUUGAUUCAAAUAUUUCCAUGGUGUGGUAGAAAUUAAACAAAUCUUUCAUAUGUGUUCAUUGAAUAUUCCCGUGCAUGCACGAUGAAUGUUUUUGAGUAUCAAUUUUUUUGUUUUAUUUUUUUUUGUUUUUCGAUUCUAAAAACGUAGGGGAGGGGAUUUUAUUGGUUUUCUCUAUGAGUUUUCUCGUUGUAACGGUUGAGUUUUUUUUUUUUCCGUUUCAAAAUGAGAUUCUCGUUUCUCUGCCUUUAUCUAAAAGCAUCUACAGUAAAUUAAAAGACACUAAAAAACAAAAAAUUAAAAGACACUGAAAUUUUUUUUAUACUUAAUAAACAUUUAAGUAUAUAUAAACAGUCUUACUAGUCCCAAGUUUUACAAUUCAAAAUUUAUUAGUAAUUGUUUUUUGGAAAAAAUCUAAGUGAAUUUUUGUCCAAAAUUUUCCUUUUACUGUGUUUAUUCUAGUGGGUGUCAUUAACUUUAAUCUUGUGAUUCUUUUAACGUUUACCAUUGGGAACCUUCACAUGAAAUAAAUGUCUACUUUAUCGAGUCAUACCUUCUUCUCCGUAAAUUAAUUGAUGUUCUUCUUCAAAAUUUGAGUUUCUGUUUUUUGUAAUAAACUAAACGAAAGAAUUUGGGAAUACGUGUUUAUACAAUUAUACUUUUAAAGUUAUAUUUAUGUCAAAAUUUAAGUAUUUCGAGAAGAGGAAAGAUCCUUUUGACAUUUUUGUUCUAUAGUUAUUAUUUAUUAGAAACGUAACGGCAAGAAUCUGAACAGUACCUACUCAACGGGGUCCAUAAGUCUAGUCAACAAAUGUAGUUGACUAUGUCCAGGCCAAAAACGUACGGUUAUUAUUAACCAUAGUUAAUAGUUAAAAGUUAACCAUGGUUCGGUUAACAUUAAACCCUUUUUCCUCUUUUAACAAACCCCAAAACCUUUCUUCAGAUUUUCUCUCUGCUUUUCACAAUCGUCGUCUCAAUUUUUUCCUGCAAAAUUCCGAUCGCCAUGGAUGAUGGAGCUGUUGAGAUACGUGAAGAGCAACGUCGAUUGAUCGUGGCCCAGCAGCAACCACCAUGUAUGGCUCGUGAACAAGACCAGUACAUGCCAAUCGCAAACGUCAUAAGAAUCAUGCGUAAAAUCUUACCGUCGCACGCUAAAAUCUCUGACGACGCCAAAGAAACGAUUCAAGAAUGUGUCUCCGAGUACAUAAGCUUCGUGACCGGUGAAGCCAACGAGCGUUGCCAACGUGAGCAACGUAAGACCAUAACUGCUGAAGAUAUCCUUUGGGCUAUGAGCAAGCUUGGGUUCGAUAACUACGUGGAUCCCCUCACCGUGUUUAUUAACCGGUACCGUGAGAUAGAGACCGAUCGUGGGUCGGCACUUAGAGGUGAGCCACCGUCGUUGAGACAGGCCUAUGGAGGAAAUGGUAUUGGGUUUCACGGCCCACCACAUGGCCCAUCUCAUGGCCUACCUCCUCCUGGUCCUUAUGGUUAUGGUAUGUUGGACCAAUCCAUGGUUAUGGGAGAUGGUCGGUUCUACCAAAACGGGUCGUCGGGUCAGGACGAAUCAAGUGCUGGUGGUGGCUAUUCGUCUUCCAUUAACGGAAUGCCGGCGUAUGACCAAUAUGGUCAGUAUAAGUGAAGAUGGAAUUAUUCUUCAUUUUUAUGUAUAUCGAUUCAAAACAUGUGUUUGAAUAGAUAUUUUAUCUUUGUAUUAUCAAUAACAUUUCUAUAUAUAAUGUUGCUCCUUUUAAGGAAAAGUGUUGAGUUUCAAUACUUUUCGAGAACUGAUUUAUAUAUGCAAAUGAAAAAGUGUUUUUGGAUGAAACUCUAUGCAAUAUUACAUGAUCUAAAGGUUUUUGUAAUUUUAAAGCUGCUAUAGUUAGAAGAUAACUAAACAUUAUAGGAACCAAGUUUGCUUUUUUUUAUAUAGUUAGAAGAUUUAUAUAUGCAAACAAAAAGGGUUAUAAAAUCAAAAUUCAAAAUGAAGCAAGUGGUCCAAAUGCAUUGACCACAUAAACACUUUAAUAACCAAAAUAUAGGAUUUUUGUAAGACUCUCAAGUCUGACGCACAACAGUUUAUGUUAUUUAUAGAGUUGACUGUACCAUUAAAGAUUUCAAAAAAAUUAGAUCUUUAUUAGGUUCAUUUGUUGUUACACUCCUCCUUCUAUAUAAUAAUAACCUCCACUCCUCUCUAUGAGCAGCAAUGUGAAAGAUAUGGUCCAAGUGAAGUCAAACCCAACAAAUGAGCCUAGUCAACAACCACAACACAAAAAGACAAAGACCAGAAAAGUUUCACCGGCUGAGAGUAUCUCCAACAGUAAUGUCUUGAGGAAUAUCUUAAGAUUAAAAAAAUAAAAAAUAAUAAAAAAGUAGGAGAGAGUGUAGACACAGUUUCUGGUUUGAGAAACUUUGAGAAACUGUGUUUCCACUUGUCAUUUUAUUAUUGGUCAAAUUCUUUUUUUAUAAUUUAUAAUUUAAAUAAAUAAUUUAUUUAUUAUAAAUUGAUUAAAAUAAUAUUUUUGAUACACCCACACAGUGUCACAUAAACUCCCCUCUGAUCGCGGAAGCUGUGGCGGCCCUUCUCGCGUUGCAACACGCCCGAAACCUUGGUUUCACAUAGCUCUCUCUUGCUUCUGACUCGUCUCAACUCGUCAAAGCACUUCAAUCGGAGCUUCAAGUAAAGGAACUCCACGGGAUUCAAUUCGACAUCCUUGAUCUAUGUUUAAGUUUCUCUGCAAUUUCUUUUCGCUUUAUCCCACGAUCUCAAAACACUGUAGCGGAUUCGUUGGCCAAGGAGGCCUUACUCUCCUUUGUACUGGGCCUGGCCCAACUCUAGUUUUCAAUUGAAUCAUCCAUCCUUUGCACAAAAAAAAAAAUUUGUAAGCGUUAUGAUUGCAUUGGAGAGGUUUACUUGUCCGUUCAUUUUUUGAAUUCAAAUAAUGGGAGUUCAAACACUUAGAAAUAUCAGCAUUACUAUAUAUAUACUACUAGUAUUCAUUUGUUUAACAUAUAUGGAUGGUCGAUUAUUUUUUUGUUAAUCAACGCCGAAGGGUAAAGAGCUCAUGUUUUUUUCGUGAUGUAGCCUAAAGAUUAAUAUAAGUUUAUUGCAAAAAAAAAUAAUGAAAAAUCACUUCUAUUAAUUUUGUUAACAUGCAAGGUCAAAUUACUUUUCACUCUCUAUCUCAUUUCUCGUCAUGCAUAUAUGUUCGCAAGAAUCUCCAAUGUUGAUAUAUUCACCUAUCUCAACUCAUAUUUACGUAAUGUAAUUUCUUGUAAUUUGCCAGUUCAUCUCUACUCGAAAAUGCCCAAUCCUAAUAACAUAGAGGUGUGCUGAAAAAUAAUGGGAGAAUUAGCCUCAUAAUAUUUUGCGUAAGAGUAACUUGGAAGACGUACAUUGACCAAGGUAUUAUGAUUUUUGUCAGUUAAUGGCACCCCAUUGGACCAACAAAUUAAGCAAUCCCCGCAUUCCUUUAAUUUAAUCGUAACAAUAUGUAUUAAACUAAAUAUACAUGCACAACAAUUAAUUUCAAAUACAUUAAAAAAACGCACAAGUCAUAACAAUGAUUAUUCGAGUUUAUUACUCCAUAUGCGACUAUGAACAUUUUAAUAAACUUCGACAUCAAAGAAGCUGAGACAUGCAUGCCGAAACAAGCAUUCCUCUUCUGACUUCUCUCGUCCACAAUUUUUUUUUAUUUUUUGAAUACUAAGGUGUUAAAUUAUUAUAUCUAAUUAAUUAUAGCAAAUAAUUGAAGGUAUAGGUCGAGGUUUUCAUUAAAGAAACAAUAGGCUCUCUAAUUCUAUAGAUCAAUUAUUGACCACUCGAGGAUUUACAUUAUAUUUCAUGCAUGUAUAUUUGUUAGAAGUAAACUGUUUUUUCUUGUUUUCAUUUCUAGUAAGAAAUUCUUAGUCCUAGUUUUAUUUUUGUCUUAAAAGCUUACUUGAAUAGUUAAAAAGUUCAAUACUUAUCAAAAAAAUAUUUAUACUAAUAUUACACAAAAAAAAAUAUGUAAAAAUAUAUAGUUAAAAGUUCAAACUAAAAAUAGAUGCUUUGAGAUAUUUGAGUGCACAUUACUUUAAAUUUGAUGGGAAAUCUGUAAACCAGUAAUUCUCUAUCUGCAGGAUAAUUAAUUUGUGUGUGGAGUGGUUAGAUUUCGAAGUCAACAGUUUAGUCAAAGUGCUGUCAGAAAAAUUACAUGCGGGGGCUGUAAGAAAUAAUACAUUUACAUGGAUUACAAAAACAGUUUUUAAGAAGAAAAAAAAGUGGUUUACCAAAAAAAAAAAGUGACGCUUUCAAAUUAUUUAAAAUAGAAAAGUGUUUUAUGGGUUUAUACUUUAUAGAAUAUUACACACAUUAAGAUCUAAUAUUGUUGCAUCUAAUAAUAUUUAUACUUCAGAGAUUUCAAAAUGUAGUGUUAUUUAAUCAAUAUUUUAAAUAUUUCAUAAAAUCUAGUAUUGUUCAAAAGUAUAACAUUUAAUUAAUAUUUUGAUACAUAAAUCUAUCUUUACUAUACUAUAAAUCUAGUAGAUUAGUCCAACAUCCUUAUUAAACCACCUCUCAAUGAAAAAUUAAAAUAGACCAAAAAAUUACAUCAGAAAUAUUAAAUGAUGAAUAAUAUAAGCAACUUCUUAAUGAUACACAACACCAAUCCUAGUUUUUCUAAUUUUUGUAACUUUUUUUUUUAUUUGUUUCUACCAAACUUAUCCAAAUAUAAAUUGAUAGAAACUAACAGAUAACUAAACAAUGCCACAAAAAUCUUUAUCAACCAUUGGAUUACUAGGGUGUUGGAUUUAUAUAUUUAUUGGUUAUUUAUGUAUUAGAAAAUGCAAAGCAACAUUCAAUUGUAAGUUUGUAACAUGCAUCUAACACCAAUAUCUUUUACUAAACUUUUGUAAUCCCUUAAACACUUUAAAAUGCUAAUUCAAAUUAAAAAUACAUUACACGUGAUACAUAGUUUUAAAAACAGUAGACUUAUAGCUCAUUUUCGUAACGCAUAUAUAUAUUAAAAUUUACCAAAAUUUACCAUUUCGAGUAAGAGAAUCUUUUUAAAAAUAAUUUUCAAUUUCAUUAAUUAAGAAACAAUGAAUUUAAUGAAAUGUAUAUUUUAUUAAAUUCCCAUAAAGUAUAUAUAAUUAAAAUAAUGCCACGUAAAUCUUUCUCCGCCGUUCGAUAAUCAAAUACUUUCUUGAUUAAAAAUGUAUUCAGAAAAUGUUAAACCAACAUUUAUCUAUAAACAAAGAGAGCCUCAUAUGUGUAAAAAUCUUCUUCUUAUCUUUCUUUCUUUCUUAAUAGAGUCUUUAAUUUUUACUCAAUUAGCUUUGGUAAUUUGUGAAAAAAACAACCAAUGAGAGAAGAGCAGUUUGACUGGCCACAUAGCCAAUGAAAUUAGCCAAUGGGAAAGAGAUAUAGAGACCUCGUAAGAACCGCCUCCUUUGCCAUUUGUAUCAUCUCUCUAUAAAACCACUCAACCAUCAACCUUUCUUUACAUGCAACAAAUCACUCAAAUAAUUAUUUUAUAAAGAACAAAAAAAAAAAGACGGCAGGGAAACAAUGGAACGUGGAGCUUCCUUCUCUCACUAUCAGCUACCCAAAUCCAUCUCUGUUAAUCUAAGUGGCUAUUUAUAUACUUGCCUCCAUGUAUAUUUAUAUGCUCAUGAAAAAUUGGAGACUUGCUUUUUGAUUUUUAUGAGUCUUUUCAACAAAGAAGUAGAGGCUUUCUUUCUCGAAAAUUAAUUUUAGAAUUUGUGAAGGUUUUGGGAAUGGCUCUGAAAAGACGAUUUUAUACAUGCAUGCAAGAGUUUGAUAUGUGUAUUGUCUCAUCAUGACUGAGUCAAAGUUUGAUUCAAAUAUUUCCAUGGUGUGGUAGAAAUUAAACAAAUCUUUCAUAUGUGUUCAUUGAAUAUUCCCGUGCAUGCACGAGGAAUGUUUUUGAGUAUCAAUUUUUUUGUUUUAUUUUUUUUUGUUUUUCGAUUCUAAAAACGUAGGGGAGGGGAUUUUAUUGGUUUUCUCUAUGAGUUUUCUCGUUGUAACGGUUGAGUUUUUUUUUUUUCCGUUUCAAAAUGAGAUUCUCGUUUCUCUGCCUUUAUCUAAAAGCAUCUACAGUAAAUUAAAAGACACUAAAAAACAAAAAAUUAAAAGACACUGAAAUUUUUUUAUACUUAAUAAACAUUUAAGUAUAUAUAAACAGUCUUACUAGUCCCAAGUUUUACAAUUCAAAAUUUAUUAGUAAUUGUUUUUUGGAAAAAAUCUAAGUGAAUUUUUGUCCAAAAUUUUCCUUUUACUGUGUUUAUUCUAGUGGGUGUCAUUAACUUUAAUCUUGUGAUUCUUUUAACGUUUACCAUUGGGAACCUUCACAUGAAAUAAAUGUCUACUUUAUCGAGUCAUACCUUCUUCUCCGUAAAUUAAUUGAUGUUCUUCUUCAAAAUUUGAGUUUCUGUUUUUUGUAAUAAACUAAACGAAAGAAUUUGGGAAUACGUGUUUAUACAAUUAUACUUUUAAAGUUAUAUUUAUGUCAAAAUUUAAGUAUUUCGAGAAGAGGAAAGAUCCUUUUGACAUUUUUGUUCUAUAGUUAUUACUUAUUAGAAACGUAACGGCAAGAAUCUGAACAGUACCUACUCAACGGGGUCCAUAAGUCUAGUCAACAAAUGUAGUUGACUAUGUCCAGGCCAAAAACGUACGGUUAUUAUUAACCAUAGUUAAUAGUUAAAAGUUAACCAUGGUUCGGUUAACAUUAAACCCUUUUUCCUCUUUUAACAAACCCCAAAACCUUUCUUCAGAUUUUCUCUCUGCUUUUCACAAUCGUCGUCUCAAUUUUUUCCUGCAAAAUUCCGAUCGCCAUGGAUGAUGGAGCUGUUGAGAUACGUGAAGAGCAACGUCGAUUGAUCGUGGCCCAGCAGCAACCACCAUGUAUGGCUCGUGAACAAGACCAGUACAUGCCAAUCGCAAACGUCAUAAGAAUCAUGCGUAAAAUCUUACCGUCGCACGCUAAAAUCUCUGACGACGCCAAAGAAAC